rnacentral:lncRNA from 1 species
GCCAAAGACUCACGUCCGUUCCAGUGUUUGUGCUACAGCAGAACACGGCACAGAGGACAGACACAGUCCUCACUUUGAGGCCAGCCAUGGCAGAAGAGCCACAGCUGAACCUCUGCUGAACCACCGCUGCGGGGCCUGUGGGGAAGUCACGGGAGAACUGCCUCGCUCUGCCCUCAUCGUCUCACUCUGACUCACACAACAGCCAAACCUCACUUUUCCUUUCCUUAUCCACGCUUCACAGAUCCAUCUGUGAAACAGCCCUGUGCAGCCCUCCCGCAUCCCGUUCUGUGG